rnacentral:lncRNA from 1 species
GCGGCGGCGCGGCCGGGACCCGCGGACGUGCGGGCGGCCGCGGCCCUGGCAGUCCCAGCUGAAGCCUACUUCUUGUCGCCCUUCUGCGCGUCGCCCUCAUCCGCCGCCUCUGGGGCCCGCUCCAGCUUCUGUUUCUCCAGCUCCUCCUGCUCGCAUUUGCUGCUGGGGAACUUGUCUUUGUUGUUCUCUUGGAAGAUUCGUGAACGAGCCUGGGAGACCAUUAUAAUAAGAGCAGGGGACCUUCUACCCCCGUGCAGGGGCGGGGUGGGGGGGGGCGCAAGAAGGCCGCGGUCGGCGGAGGAGGAGGGGGUCUGGAUCCUGCGCACCGAAUAGGCUCUGGCGUUGCAGCGGGUCGUAGCCGUAGAAAUUGCCGGGGUCCCCGUGGCACGCCACGGCGCACGGAGGUCCCUUCUCUGCCCUGCCCUCUCUGCCCUGCCCUGGCCAGUCACAAAACAUCCUCUCAUUAAA